rnacentral:rRNA from 1 species
AGACCCGAAACCCGGUGAUCUAGCCAUGGGCAGGUUGAAGGUUGGGUAACACUAACUGGAGGACCGAACCGACUAAUGUUGAAAAAUUAGCGGAUGACCUGUGGCUGGGGGUGAAAGGCCAAUCAAACCGGGAGAUAGCUGGUUCUCCCCGAAAGCUAUUUAGGUAGCGCCUCGUGAAUUCAUCUCCGGGGGUAGAGCACUGUUUCGGCUAGGGGGCCAUCCCGGCUUACCAACCCGAUGCAAACUGCGAAUACCGGAGAAUGUUAUCACGGGAGACACACGGCGGGUGCUAACGUCCGUCGUGAAGAGGGAAACAACCCAGACCGCCAGCUAAGGUCCCAAAGUCAUGGUUAAGUGGGAAACGAUGUGGGAAGGCCCAGACAGCCAGGAUGUUGGCUUAGAAGCAGCCAUCAUUUAAAGAAAGCGUAAUAGCUCACUGGUCGAGUCGGCCUGCGCGGAAGAUGUAACGGGGCUAAACCAUGCACCGAAGCUGCGGCAGCGACGCUGAUGCGUUGUUGGGUAGGGGAGCGUUCUGUAAGCCUGUGAAGGUGGCCUGUGAGGGUUGCUGGAGGUAUCAGAAGUGCGAAUGCUGACAUAAGUAACGAUAAAGCGGGUGAAAAGCCCGCUCGCCGGAAGACCAAGGGUUCCUGUCCAACGUUAAUCGGGGCAGGGUGAGUCGACCCCUAAGGCGAGGCCGAAAGGCGUAGUCGAUGGGAA